GAGUUUGAUCCUGGCUCAGGAUGAACGCUAGCGACAGGCUUAACACAUGCAAGUCGAGGGGCAGCGGGGCGGCAGGCUUGCCUGCCGUUGCCGGCGACCGGCGCACGGGUGAGUAACACGUAUGCAACCUGCCCGUGGCAGGGGGAUAAGCGGGGGAAACCCCGUACUAAUACCGCGUAACGCGGCCUAUGGACAUCCCAAGGCCGCCAAAGGGAGCAAUCCCGGCCACGGAUGGGCAUGCGGCGCAUUAGCUAGUCGGUGGGGUAACGGCCCACCGAGGCGACGAUGCGUAGGGGUUCUGAGAGGAAGGCCCCCCACACUGGUACUGAGACACGGACCUGACUCCUACGGGAGGCAGCAGUGUGGUAUAUUGGUCAAUGGGCGCGAGCCUGAACCAGCCAAGUCGCGUGAGGGAGGACGGCCCUACGGGUUGUAAACCUCUUUUGCCGGGGAGCAACGGGAGUCACGUGUGGCGCCACUGAGAGUACCCGGAGAAAAAGCAUCGGCUAACUCCGUGCCAGCAGCCGCGGUAAUACGGAGGAUGCGAGCGUUAUCCGGAUUUAUUGGGUUUAAAGGGUGCGUAGGCGGAUCGUUAAGUCAGUGGUCAAAUUGAGGGGCUCAACCCCUUCCCGCCAUCGAAACUGGCGUUCUUGAGUGGAAGAGAAGUAUGCGGAAUGCGUGGUGUAGCGGUGAAAUGCAUAGAUAUCACGCAGAACCCCGAUUGCGAAGGCAGCAUUCCGGCUUCCGACUGACGCUGAAGCACGAAAGCGUGGGGAUCGAACAGGAUUAGAUACCCUGGUAGUCCACGCGGUAAACGAUGAGCGCUAGGUGUCCGGGGGGAAUGGCCCCUGGGUGCCACAGCGAAAGCGUAAGCGCUCCACCUGGG
rnacentral:rRNA from 1 species